rnacentral:rRNA from 1 species
GACGAACGCUGGCGGCGUGCUUAACACAUGCAAGUCGUACGGUAAGGCCCUUUCGGGGGUACACGAGUGGCGAACGGGGGAGUAACACGUGAGUAACCUGCCCACAACUUUGGGAUAACGCUAGGAAACUGGUGCUAAUACUGGAUAUGUGCUCCUGCUGCAUGGUGGGGGUUGGAAAGCUCCGGCGGUUGUGGAUGGACUCGCGGCCUAUCAGCUUGUUGGUGGGGUAGUGGCCUACCAAGGCGGCGACGGGUAGCCGGCCUGGGUGGGUGACCGGCCACAUUGGGACUGGGAUACGGCCCCGACUCCUACGCGUGGGAGAGGUGGGGAAUGUUGCACUAUGGCCGCGAGCCUGAUGCAGCAACGCCGCGUGCGGGAUGACGGCCUUCGGGUUGUAAACCGCUUUCAGCAGGGACGAAGCUUUUUGUGACGGUACCUGCAGAAGAAGCACCGGCUAACUACGUG